rnacentral:rRNA from 1 species
UUGACCUCGGAUCAGGUAGGGAUACCCGCUGAACUUAAGCAUAUCAAUAAGCGGAGGAAAAGAAACCAACAGGGAUUGCCCUAGUAACGGCGAGUGAAGCGGCAACAGCUCAAAUUUGAAAUCUGGCUCUCUCUGAGGGUCCGAGUUGUAAUUUGCAGAGGAUGCUUUGGCAUUGGCGGCGGUCUAAGUUCCUUGGAACAGGACAUCGCAGAGGGUGAGAAUCCCGUACGUGGGCGCCUGCCUUUGCCGUGUAAAGCUCCUUCGACGAGUCGAGUUGUUUGGGAAUGCAGCUCUAAAUGGGAGGUAAAUUUCUUCUAAAGCUAAAUACCGGCCAGAGACCGAUAGCGCACAAGUAGAGUGAUCGAAAGAUGAAAAGUACUUUGGAAAGAGAGUCAAAAAGCACGUGAAAUUGUUGAAAGGGAAGCGCUUGCAGCCAGACUUGCCGGCAGUUGCUCACCUAGCUUUGCCUGGGGCACUCUUCUGCGGCAGGCCAGCAUCAGUUUGGGCGGUUGGAUAAAGGCCUCUGU